rnacentral:rRNA from 1 species
GGGGGAAUCUUGUGCAAUGGGGGAAACCCUGACACAGCCACGCCGCGUGGAGGAAGACACCCCUAUGGGGCGUAAACUCCUUUUCUGCCGGAAGAAAACCCCAGUCUCUGGAGCUUGACGGUACGGCAGGAAUAAGCACCGGCUAACUCCGUGCCAGCAGCCGCGGUAAUACGGAGGGUGCAAGCGCUGUCCGGAAUCACUGGGCGUAAAGGGUGUGCAGGCGGACUUGUAAGUCAGAGGUGAAAUCCUGCGGCUUAACCGUAGAAGUGCCUUUGAUACUGCAAGUCUUGAGUCCUAGAGAGGUUGUCGGAAUUCGUGGUGUAACGGUGAAAUGCGUAGAUAUCACGAGGAACACCAGAGGCGUAAGCGGACAACUAGAUAGGUACUGACGCUGAGGCACGAAAGCGUGGGGAGCAAACAGGAUUAGAUACCCUGGUAGUCCACGCUGUAAACGAUGAAUGCUAGACGUUGCCCCGUUUUUAGGGGCGGUGUCCAAGCUAACGCGUUAAGCAUUCCGCCUGGGGAGUACGAUCGCAAGGUUG